GCUCGCUACCCCGAGGCUACGCUGGCCGCCGAGCCCCUGCCGCCCGGGCCCCACCUCCGCGGCGAGCUCGGGGACCCUCUGGGCUGGGGAGGCAGCGGGAGCGGGCGGCUAGGGUUGCCGGGAAGAGCGAAGCAGGCGCGGGCGCGUGCUCGGGAGGCGCAGGAGGGAAGGCCAACCCUCCCGGCCUCGCCCAGACGCCCGCGCGUCCUUCCCUAGGAAGCGGCGGCUCGCCUCGCCCCCCGCGCCGCCGCCGCCGCCGCAGCCGAGGUUCCCUGAAGGUCUGCGCCCGGUGGCGAGAGCAGUCACCGGGGCGUCCCUGCAGCGAGCGGCCGCCAACGGCAACACGCGCCCGGCGCGCCCGCUUCUCGCCGCCGCCUGGCACCGCCACCUUGGCCCUGCCGCGCCCACCGCCCGGAUGGCGCGCCUGUAAUUUUUCCCUACUGAGAUCAGCUUUGUCAGAGCAACAAGAAACUGAUGGAUAUUUUUGUUCUGUGAAUAAAGCCACAAAACUGCAAAACCCAGAAUAAAAGCACCAGCCUUCUGAGGCCCUCUCAACUGACCAGUGAUGGAGACCUAGCUGCACCCUUUACUGCGCCCCCUCUCAGCAUGAAGCAGCCAGAGCGUCGCCCCCUUUCCCUAGCAGCAGCUAGAGUCUCUGUCUGUAGAAGUGAGAAUGAGACAGGAACCAUAAGCUUAGACAGAAUAAAGUGAGAGCCUCUGAAGAAAACAAGGCAGGAUCUUUAUUAUGCUAAUCAUUUGUAUAAGAUUCACUUUAGCAUGCUAAAAGACUCAGGCCUGUGUGCUGUUUUUCCUCCUUCAGAUCUGACUAAGUAAUUUUGCAAGCUGAGCAAUUCAGACCCAGCUGUAGACGGCAUAGUAAAAAGCAAGAUUCUUUAGCAAAUAGACAAUGUCUCAACCCACCUUAGAGGCUGGGCAUGCAAUCUUUUGAUGUGCACCCGAACCAAAGCGCCAGUGUCCCAGAGAGAAAUCAAAGAAAGAAAUUAUCUUUCGAAGCAUAUUGUGCCUUUCCCCUAUUGCACUACCAAACAGAUGACCUCUAAUUUCAUGAUUGAAAUAGUUACAAGAAAAAGGGGGGAAUGUAAGGGAAUGCAAGAAACACCCUAGAGCGAGAGCCACCCAGUUUCCAUACCCUAAGGGGGAUGAAACUCGUGGGGACGAAACUCGUGACAAGACGUUAAGGAAUGCUUGUGCAAAAGUCAGGCAAGUGGCGGGUCCCCGUUUCAACUUUAUUGGUUAAAGCAUGGAGUGUGUUUUAACUUCAUUGGUUGUGGUGAUGUAUGGGCGUUGGUGUAAUGGCUGUGGAAAUCCUAUAUAAUCUAUACCUAAAGUUGCUUGGGGGUCGACAGCUCGGACUCGACCUGCAUGUCAGGGGAGGUGCUGUUGGUCCCAGCUAGCUGGCUGAAUAAAGACUUUGCUUG